AGCUCAGUUGGUAGAGCAGUGGAUUGUGGUUCCACUGGUCGCGGGUUCAAGUCCCGUCAUUCACCCCA
rnacentral:tRNA from 1 species